rnacentral:rRNA from 1 species
CUAGGAUUAGAUACCCUAUUAUUUAAAAUGUAAAAACUAAAGUAUUAAUAGAUAUGGUCUUUAAACUUAAAAAAUUUGGCGGUAUUUUAGUCUAUUCAGAGGAACCUGUUUUAUAAUCGAUAAUCCACGUUGGACCUUACUUUAAUUUAUAAAUUAGUUUAUAUACCGUCGUUAUAAAAAAUUUUACAAGAAUAAUAAUUUUUAAAAUUUUAUAUCAGAUCAAGGUGUAGCUUAUAUUAAAGAAAAUAAUGGGUUACAAUAAAAUUAUUUAUAUGAAUAUAAAAAUGAAAAAUUUAUUGAAAGAGGAUUUGAAAGUAAAAUUAAAUAGAUUUUUAAUUUGAUUUUAGCUCUAAAAUAUGUCAUAUCGCCCGUCACUCUUAUUAUUAAAAUAAGAUAAG